GAGAUGAUAAACUGCCUGCGGAGAUGAGAUGAAGCGUGGUGAAUGACGUAGGCGUUGCGACAGAGCGCCUCAGAACGCCGACCAUCUACUUCCGGACCAUGGUUGCGGGUGGGAAACGGAAGCCGCAGAAAGCGGAUCCGGGGAUAAGCGGGGAAUACUGAAUGUGAGGCUCUCUUGAACUAUAAAGUGGAUCUCAACAAGGCGAGCAGCGAACGAGCAACCGUCAGCUCCUGACAUCAGCCUCCAUAGACUCAUGUUUGAGACCUGAGGAGGCAAAACCUGAUGGAAGAAUUUUCCUGAGAAGCUCUGUGAGGCUGGAGGCAGGUCCCAUAAUGCCUGGGACCUGGUGACCAAGUAGGACAGCCAGGGCAUCUUUGGUGAUCAUUUCCUGACAGAGCAGUGCUGGGAGCUGCCUGGGGAAUUUAUCUUUCUUGUCUUUGACCUUGUUUUAUCACGAGACUGCUAGUGGUCAAAUGAUAAAGGGAAACUGCAGCCUGGUGAACUAGGGCUAACCAGUCCUGAAGUGGGUGUAAAGCAGCCAGUUGGACAAUACAAAACUGUGAGGGUGCAUCUCAGAGAGAAUAGCUAGGUGGUCACUUUGAAAUUAACAAAAGCUACUGAAGACUCAGAAUUACUUUUG